UACGUAGGGUGCGAGCGUUGUCCGGAAUUAUUGGGCGUAAAGAGCUCGUAGGCGGCUUGUCGCGUCGGAUGUGAAAGCCCGGGGCUUAACUCCGGGUCUGCAUUCGAUACGGGCAGGCUAGAGUUCGGUAGGGGAGAGUCGGAAUUCCUGGUGUAGCGGUGAAAUGCGCAGAUAUCAGGAAGAACACCCGUGGCGAAGGCGGCUCUCUGGGACGGUACUGACGCUGAGACGCGAAAGCGUGGGGAGCAAACAGG
rnacentral:rRNA from 1 species